CUAAAAAUAAUGCAGACGGAUCCGUUCUGAACGGAGCCUCCGUCUGCAUUAGUAUGAGCGGAUCCGUUCAGAACGGAUCCGCCCGAACGCUAGUGUGAAAGUAGCCUUAGACACACUGUUAUUGUUUGCAAAUACAGUCGGAAGGUAUGUCUUUUAGUCCUCAUAACAAAUUCGGCUACAAUGACUCUAACCCGAACAUGGAUCCUGUAAAGGGUAAGAAUCUGGCCUGCAACAACCCUACCUUAGUUGAUUUAAUUGCUGGAAUAACCUCUAACUCCUCAGAGGGUCAGGAAAGGGGACCAAAACUGGCAGAAAGUGUCCUACUAGCCAAAUUGUUAACUCAGUUGUUUAAUAGUACGGUGGUUGCAGUCCUAGAAGAUAUAUUCCUGGUCUGUGGGCAUAAGGCUUACAAGUGGUUGCUCGGAAGUGUCACUGGUUUAUGUACAAUCGCCCGGUUUACUCCUGCAACCUUUAUAAUACCCCAUUCCAACAUAGAUAUGUUUAUUAAUAAAGUUUGUAAGAAGGGGAAACAAUAUCGAGAUUAUUGAGAGUAUCUGUGGUACUGUUGCCCCUGAAGGGAAUCCUUAGGGCAGAAUAGGAUUAGCUUGUUCUGAAGUUGGGCGGUAACAGUUCACAGAUUUCUCAAAAUGGGGGAUUGAACUCCAUCUUGUAUAUCCUAUAUCUUUCUGAACCAGAGUUCAAUUAGAGGUUAUUCUAUUUUUAUAAAUGCUAGUUUCUGCUGUUCUAAGUUUAAGAUCCCCUUUCUGAUAAAGGUUGAAUUUCUUCUGUCUUUGUGGUUUAUGUGACGCACGGCUGUUGGGCGUCUACCAAUAAUCAUGGUAUAAGAUUGUCUGCUAAAAUUCAAUAAAGGAGAUUACUGAUUACAA